rnacentral:sRNA from 1 species
AAAUUACAUGUUAAUACGUAGUAUUAAUGGCGAGACUCCUGAGGGAGCAGUGCCAGUCGAAGACCGAGGCUGAGACGGCACCCUAGGAAAGCGAAGCCAUUCAAUACGAAGUAUUGUAUAAAUAGAGGGGCUUGG